UUGAGCUCAACUUUUUUCAAGUCUAAGCUCUCCUAUUUAUAUGAAUAGGGUAUUUCCGCACACUAGGUCAAACCCCUAAACCAUAUCUUUAGGAAUCCUUUACUUUCCUUUUUACUAUUUAGGAAAUUAACAUUCUUCUUCUUGUUUCCUUUAUCGCCAUAAAGGACGUCUUCUAGACACUUCUCUUUGCUUCGUGUCUUCAUAUCACCGACCUUG
rnacentral:lncRNA from 1 species